GGCUUAUUGAUUAUAAUUUUAAGUCUAACCUGCCCAAUGAUAAAUAAUUUAAAUGGCCGCGGUAUAUUGACCGUGCAAAGGUAGCAUAAUCAUUAGUUUUUUAAAUGGAAGCUGGAAUGAAGGGUUUGAUGAAAAAAUGAUUGUCUCUAUUUAACUUUUUUUGAAAUUUAUUUUUAAGUGAAAAAGCUUAAAUUUGUAUAAAAGACGAGAAGACCCUAUAGAGUUUUAUAUUUAUAUAAAUAAAAGUUAUUUAGAAUUAAAAAUUUUAUUUAUAUAUUUAUUUAGUUGGGGUGAUUGAAAAAUUUAAAAAACUUUUUUUUAGUAAUCAUUAAUUUAUGAAUAUAUGAUCCUUUAGUAUAGAUUAAAAGAUAAAAUUACCUUAGGGAUAACAGCGUAAUUUUUUUUAAAAGUUCUUAUUAAAAAAAAAGAUUGCGACCUCGAUGUUGGAUUAAAAGAAAUUUUUGGUGUAGAAGCUAAAAAAUUAGGUCUGUUCGACCUUUAAAAUUUUACAUGAUCUGAGUUUAAACCGGUGUGAG
rnacentral:rRNA from 1 species